rnacentral:rRNA from 1 species
UACGUAGGGGGCAAGCGUUGUCCGGAAUCAUUGGGCGUAAAGAGCGUGUAGGCGGCUCGAUAAGUCUGUUCUGAAAGUCCAGGGCUCAACCCUGGGAUGCGGAUGGAUACUGUCGAGCUCGAGUCCGGAAGAGGCGAGUGGAAUUCCUGGUGUAGCGGUGAAAUGCGUAGAUAUUGGGAAGAACACCCGUGGCGAAGGCGGCUCUCUGGAACGGUACUGACGCUGAGACGCGAAAGCGUGGGGAGCGAACAGG